rnacentral:lncRNA from 1 species
UUCAAAUUCGCCGUGCAUAUAUUUUUGUGCAUGGCGCUUGAGAGGGCAUCACGUGACUAAAAACGACCAACCAACGACCUCGCUUCGGCCAUCUUGGCAUCUUCAUCUUGGCCACGGAUCGUUGUUUAGUUGUUUGUAUUAUUUGUGCUUUUUAAGAAUAUUUUUUUAAUUCGGAUACUUUUAUAAUAGCUUUAAUAGUAUUAUUAACAUAGUGAAUAAAAUGGUGUCCUGUUUUUAACGCAGUUGGAGUAGCAGAAACAAAUGUAGAUAAAAAAAUCUGCAGGAAUAACGUUUCAAUUAUGACAGAAGCUCCAAACAAAUGACUGUGAAUGAAAAGCCCUAUUAAAAGCUUUCCAGAAGAUCCUGCGAAGAAGACAUGAAGUAUAGAUCAGAUUUGUUAAUAGAGGAGUAUGUUCAAAACACUUUUUAGAAAAGAUAUUGACAGAACUUCACUUUCAUCUGUUCGUUUAAGAGACUGUGCUGUUCCAAUAGCUUAUGUCACACAGAAUCAGCUGAGAGAAGUGGUCUACAAAAAACCAGAAAGGAAACGGAAUAUGUGGCUACGAAAAGCAAAAGAAAAGUUUACAAAGCAAAUGUGACACAUUUUUUUAUAAUAUUUAGGAAUGUCAGUAAAUUACAUUAAAAAAUGUAUGUAAAGAUUUUUUGCAAUAAAAAUGUUUAUAUUUA